UCGUGUCUUUUUUUCCAAGAGGCAAUUUUAAGUACGUCAUUAAUAUGGCGCCAAAAGAUUUUGAAGUAUGAGCUAUUUCGUUGCUAGGUCCUGUAGUGUCCGCCAGUGCCAAAAAAGAGAAAAAAAAUCUCUGGCUUUUCUGGAGGUAAAUUUCCCAAAGUGAGUCUAGUUCGUCCUGAGAUCUAAGGUCCGACCUCUCUCAUCUUUUAUUAUUUUUUUUACAUCCAAAUUAUCCGGAAAGGGAUCGUACUGCACAUACACACAAAAAAAACCCAAGAAGGGGGAAGAUAAGAGAGAGAGAGAGAGAGGGGAAAAAGAAAUAAGUAGCAAAGCUAGAAAAAAAAGAAACCCCCACACAAGAUGCAGUUUGCAAAACAAAAAAGAGAAAAAAAUCCGGAUCGGGGCGAAAGGAUCUGAAACGCAACAGGACUGCGUUAAAGUGAUCUGAAAAGGUGGGAAUGAGAGAGAGAGAGAGCAGAGGAGCGGAGCUGCAAACUGUGUGUAUGUGUAUGUGUGUGUGUCUCUCUCUCUCUCUGUGUGUGUAUGUGUGAGAGGGAGAGAGCGCCCAUUGCAUUUCAUUGGCAGCCAUCUCAGCCCUGUGUAACUGCAUGUUUUUUUUAACAGCGAGGGAGGGAAGGGGAAGGGGAGGGGGCAGAGAGAGAGACACACACACACACACACAGAUUUAAAUGUAUUAAUGGACAAUUGGAUCGAUGUGCGUUUCCUCCUGCGCCGCUUUUAACAUAUAUCAGCACCAUCGCAUUCACAUUACAACACCAUCAUCACCAUCGUGGCCUGAGGACAGUCACCGCAAAAAAAAAGAGGCAUAUAGAUCCGAAGCUUAAGCAGGCAAAAAAAAAUACAUGGUUCCUGAAUGCAAGCUGCGCUGCUGACUCUAGGGGGAGUGGCUGUUGUUUAUCCCGAAUUCAUUGCGCUCAGGUUCACCGGGGGGGAGGCGUGGCUCGUCCAAUUUCAACACCCCCCCCCCCCUUCCAUCCCACCCACCACCCCCUUUCCAGCAGCAACAAUAACAACAACAUCAUCCACCCAGCGAACAGAGAAAGAGGGAAGGCAAAGCCAGAUGAAAAAAAGUUGCUGAAUUCUACAGGCAGGUUACAAGGGUGAGUGAGCUGGAGGAGAACUUGGAGAACUUGCUUACGAGGUAUUCUUUGUGCUCAAGCAGAUGCCUUAACACUUGUGGAUGCAUUUGAUUGGCUGGAAAUGCUGUUAGAAUUCGCAAUGCAAGAUGUAGCUGUUGAGCGAAUAAUCUGGAAAAACAGACAAAUUAUUUGAGAAGACCAGAAGAUUGUAUCACAAGAUCUCCAGAUGGAUAAUGAAAUAAUGAAACGGAGGAAGUUCUCCACCAGCAGUGAGGACUCGGACACCACUGACAGUCACAUAACAUUAUGGUGUCGAAGUUCUAAGACAGCAAACACAAAGCACCCCUGGACAAGGCAGGAAGAGAAGAAGCCUUCAGAGGAGGAAGAGACCGAUGUUAACCUGUAAACUCCAGCCAAAGAGGUCCUUCAUUUGACUUAAAUGUGCUUAUACCCCAAUGCAGACAACUUUUUUGGUUGAAUAAAUGAAUAGCUGUCUCCAUCAUUCUAACCAAUUAAUAUCCAGUACAUGUUUCUGUUAAUGUGUACGCUUCAGAAAUGAUCAAAAAUUGAACAUCCAGUUAAUUAGAAAUAAAUCUUGACAGGAUUGAUGUUGGGUACUCAGAUGUCACUGGCACUGAUAGUAAAUUUGUUUCAUAUCAACAAAACAGAACAUAAUCAUCAUGCUUACAUUUACUCCAUGUGAACUUAUUGAAUUCACUACUAGACUUUUUAGAGUUGAAUGUGUGUGUUUGAAUGGGCUUGUAGUUUCAAGAUUUUUAGGUAAAAUUGAACUCUGGUGAUGGCUGUCUAUUUUAGUGGCUGCUAAUCUUUUCAAAUUUAUUUGGUAGAGAAUUUGUUGUGGUGUAAAUUGGAUUGCUGACUCCUCAAGGUCAAUUUUGUGUAAUUACUGAACAAUAAUUUUGUUGCCCUUGUCUCUAAUGGAUUUUAAUUGUAUCUACUUAUUGGGUUUUCGAAAAGGAGUUGCUUUACAUUGUACGGUAUGCUACCAUGAAGUUUCCUGUGCAACACAAGGUGUAAUAAAAAGGCACUCCAUCUCUUCGGGGGGAGAAAGCAAAAAGUCCACAUAGUUGCUGUCAU